CAUGUACGUUCUGCGACGUUACCAAGUAAAACCCGACAAUUUACCCAUCAACACAAACUUGUACCAUGUACGUUCUGCGACGUUACCAAGUAAAACGCGACAAUUUACCCGUCAACACAAACUUGUACCAUGUACGUUCUGCGACGUUACCAAGUAAAACCCGACAAUUUACCCG